GACGAACGCUGGCGGCGUGCUUAACACAUGCAAGUCGAACGAAGAGCGAUGGAAGCUUGCUUCUAUCAAUCUUAGUGGCGAACGGGUGAGUAACGCGUAAUCAACCUGCCCUUCAGAGGGGGACAACAGUUGGAAACGACUGCUAAUACCGCAUACGAUCUAAUCUCGGCAUCGAGGAUGGAUGAAAGGUGGCCUCUACAUGUAAGCUAUCACUGAAGGAGGGGAUUGCGUCUGAUUAGCUAGUUGGAGGGGUAACGGCCCACCAAGGCGAUGAUCAGUAGCCGGUCUGAGAGGAUGAACGGCCACAUUGGGACUGAGACACGGCCCAGACUCCUACGGGAGGCAGCAGUGGGGAAUCUUCCGCAAUGGACGAAAGUCUGACGGAGCAACGCCGCGUGAGUGAUGACGGCCUUCGGGUUGUAAAGCUCUGUUAAUCGGGACGAAAGGCCUUCUUGCGAAUA
rnacentral:rRNA from 1 species